rnacentral:rRNA from 1 species
UGGGGAAUAUUGCACAAUGGGGGAAACCCUGAUGCAGCAACGCCGCGUGCGGGAUGACGGCCUUCGGGUUGUAAACCGCUUUCAGCCAUGACGAAGCUUUUGUGACGGUAGUGGCAGAAGAAGCACCGGCUAACUACGUGCCAGCAGCCGCGGUGAUACGUAGGGUGCGAGCGUUGUCCGGAAUUAUUGGGCGUAAAGAGCUUGUAGGCGGUUUGUCGCGUCGAAAGUGUAAACUCAGUGCUUAACGCUGAGCCUGCUUUCGAUACGGGCUGACUAGAGGAAGGUAGGGGAGAAUGGAAUUCCCGGUGGAGCGGUGGAAUGCGCAGAUAUCGUGAGGAACACCAGUAGCGAAGGCGGUUCUCUGGACCUUUCCUGACGCUGAGAAGCGAAAGCGUGGGUAGCAAACAGG